rnacentral:rRNA from 1 species
UAUUAUUUUAAGAAAGUGUCCAGUAAACUUAGGUAGUUAUAGUUAUGGGCUUAAAACCUAAAGAAUUUGGCGGUGUUUUAGUCCGUUCAGAGGAAUCUGUCCUGUAAUUGAAAGUACACGAAGAGAGUUACUUGAUUUAAUUAGUUUGUAUACCGCCGUUGUAAGAAUAUUUUUGGAGGAAAAAAAUUUUCGUAAUAGAAUAUUAUCUAAUAUAUCAGGUCAAGGUGCAGCUUAUAGUUAAGAAGAGAUGGAUUACAAUAAUUGAAAUUAUAACGGAAUAGAGAAUAGAAAAUUAUGAAGGUGGAUUUGAAAGUAAAUAUUAUUCUUAUGAUAUUGAUUUUGGCACUAAAACAUGUACACAUCGCCCGUCGCUCUCAUAUAAGGUGAG